rnacentral:rRNA from 1 species
AGGAUGAACGCUAGCGGCAGGCCUAACACAUGCAAGUCGAGGGGUAGAACACUUCGGUGUUUGAGACCGGCGCACGGGUGCGUAACGCGUAUGCAAUCUACCUUAUACAGGGGAAUAGCCCAGAGAAAUUUGGAUUAAUGCCCCAUGGUAUUACGAAAUCGCAUGGUUUUGUAAUUAAAGUUCCAACGGUAUAAGAUGAGCAUGCGUCCCAUUAGUUAGUUGGUAAGGUAACGGCUUACCAAGACGAUGAUGGGUAGGGGUCCUGAGAGGGAGAUCCCCCACACUGGUACUGAGACACGGACCAGACUCCGUACGGGAGGCAGCAGUGAGGAUA